rnacentral:rRNA from 1 species
GUAAUGCCUAGGAAUCUGCCUGGUAGUGGGGGAUAACGCUCGGAAACGGACGCUAAUACCGCAUACGUCCUACGGGAGAAAGCAGGGGACCUUCGGGCCUUGCGCUAUCAGAUGAGCCUAGGUCGGAUUAGCUAGUUGGUGAGGUAAUGGCUCACCAAGGCGACGAUCCGUAACUGGUCUGAGAGGAUGAUCAGUCACACUGGAACUGAGACACGGUCCAGACUCCUACGGGAGGCAGCAGUGGGGAAUAUUGGACAAUGGGCGAAAGCCUGAUCCAGCCAUGCCGCGUGUGUGAAGAAGGUCUUCGGAUUGUAAAGCACUUUAAGUUGGGAGGAAGGGCAGUAAAUUAAUACUUUGCUGUUUUGACGUUACCGACAGAAUAAGCACCGGCUAACUCUGUGCCAGCAGCCGCGGUAAUACAGAGGGUGCAAGCGUUAAUCGGAAUUACUGGGCGUAAAGCGCGCGUAGGUGGUUCGUUAAGUUGGAUGUGAAAUCCCCGGGCUCAACCUGGGAACUGCAUUCAAAACUGUCGAGCUAGAGUAUGGUAGAGGGUGGUGGAAUUUCCUGUGUAGCGGUGAAAUGCGUAGAUAUAGGAAGGAACACCAGUGGCGAAGG